UGGGGAAUAUUGGACAAUGGGCGAAAGCCUGAUCCAGCCAUGCCGCGUGAGUGAUGAAGGCCUUAGGGUUGUAAAACUCUUUCGCCGGGGAAGAUAAUGACGGUACCCGGAGAAGAAGCUCCGGCUAACUUCGUGCCAGCAGCCGCGGUAAUACGAAGGGAGCUAGCGUUGUUCGGAAUUACUGGGCGUAAAGCGCACGUAGGCGGGCUAUUAAGUCAGGGGUGAAAUCCCGAGGCUCAACCUCGGAACUGCCUUUGAUACUGAUAGUCUUGAGAUCGGGAGAGGUGAGUGGAAUUCCUAGUGUAGAGGUGAAAUUCGUAGAUAUUAGGAAGAACACCAGUGGCGAAGGCGGCUCACUGGCCCGAUACUGACGCUGAGGUGCGAAAGCGUGGGGAGCAAACAGGAUUAGAUACCCCGGUAG
rnacentral:rRNA from 1 species